CAAACGGCCCUUUUCAGGGCCAUCAAAAUAUUCACUAAAGAGUUU
rfam:Aedes albopictus isolate Foshan contig155993, whole genome shotgun sequence.